GAUGGAAGAAUGGAAAGAUCCAACAUAAUCACGAUUAAUGCCUAGCAGCUGUGCAUCAUUAACUUGCUGCGUGCUGAUUGGACGGCGCUGCUUACUCGCGACCGUUUAUGAGCCUUCCGCAGUGCAUCCUUAAUCGCAAUAGUACAGGAGCUCGUCCAACAUGAUGACUGGCUCGUUGGCCUCAGGGGUGUGGCUCCUUAUCAUGCCGACUGGGGUGAAUUAAAACUCUCCCACCAAGAAAGUAAUAAAGCGGCGCCUGCUUCGCUGGAAUCAGAUGUUCUUCGGAUGCUUUAUCGUCUCAAAUCCUGCAGGUAACUCGAAAGCCAAAGCUAACCGUCAUGUCCCAAGAGGAGCGCCGUCUCCCGACGACCUGGAGUUGGUUUCUGAACCCGAACCGCCUGGAUUCGAGAACAUGAGCCUACCAAACCCUUUUCCUUCUCCAGAACUCCAGCCAGGCCGGCUGUCCUUCCUAGAGAAGGUGUACGAACAGGGGACGUACGACUCUGAAUCGUCAGAAAAAGGCCCGCCGCUCAGAACAGGGGACGAAGAGUGACCCGCAGGAGAGAAGUGGCAAUUACAUCCAGUCAGAUGGCCACUUCACACACCUGUCACAACGCAGAUGAACCCAUCAUAAAAGGCUGCAAAGAGGACAAAAGCGAGAAAAUUCCCCCACUGUGACCCUCCAGCUUCCCCCUGUCUUUUUCUCCUCAACUAUUAAGACAUAAAAAGGGUAAAUCCCAAGAUGACUUGAUAUUUCAUCUCUGCUUUUUGCAUCCUGCCAUACUUUCCUGUUGGUAGACAUCGUUGUCUCUUCUUCUGAGUAUACGCCUGAAUAUGGAAUCAUUGUUGGGUUAAAAGUAUUUCAAUUCAGAAGUCAAAUGUUUUCUUUUUUUUUUUUUUUUUUUGCCCAUUACAAAUGGAAAGCUGACCAGCAUCUUUGUUCAUGUUGAAGAAAACCAUUCCUGCAGCGUAAUACGGCUGGUUGAUGUAGUGUUAGUCCCUAGUCUUUCUGCAGUGUUCAUUGCUCUAAAUGCUCGAUUUUUUUUUUUAUUAUCUGAACUCGUCUCGAUUGAGCUUAUUUUAGGGUGCCGGAGUAGAGGUGGAGUCGGUAGAUUUAACCUGCCCUUCUCAGAUCUUCUUCAGCUAUGUCCUACUUUGUGCCGAUGUGCAUUAUUGUACUUUAUGUUUGAAACGUGGACUGGUUCAAGAAGUAUGAGCACUCUAGCAAGACAGCACAUCUCAGUGUGGCUCUAAAACGGUUCGAAUGCUACAUGAUAAAAUAUUUUGUCACCAAAUGUCAUUUAUUUUCUGUUUGAGAGUCUCCUUCCUCCUGUAGACAAUGGAGGAGAAAUGACGUAAAGUAUGAAGCAUUUCUUUUGCUUGUUCACCUUGGCAUGGUGCUUUUUUUUUUUUAAUGAAAUUGACUCUUUCGUCAGAUUUGAAGCACUGACAAAAAAAAAAAGCAACUUUCUAAAGUCUUCUUUAGAGAUCGGAUUCAACUGUCGAGUUCAUCUGCUUAAUUCUGGACUUGCAUCAUAAAUACACAGGAUGUGUGAAGACCAGCGUUCAAAUCUAUCCCCCUCCCUGAACCCCCGCCAUAGCAAACAGACCAAUUGCCUUAUGAUUAACGCUCAGUUUAAAAAAAAAAAGAUGGCUUAAAGAAGCUGAAGGAAAAGCUGCCCAGUGAAAGAUGGGUGUAAGGCGCACUCUGUAAUUAAGCCAGUCUGCACUUGAUGAAAGCAGAUCACACUGGCGGGCCAUGGCUUCACAGCCAGUUUGUUUUUACGACAUAAUUACAGUCCAAAUCCAAUGAGAAGAUUUAAUAUCGCACCACGAUGAACAUGUGUCCAAUGUCAACAGUGAUGCUGACCUCCCCGGGGCAAGGUGUGUGUGGUGGGGGGAGUAGAUCACGGGCGUCAGAAAGCCUAGAGAAGAGAUUUUUUAUUUUUUAUUUCUCCCGCACCACCCUGACAGUCUACCUGCGUCUGCACACACCGCCUGGGAGGUCUGACGCCGGCGGAAUCUUACGGACAGAAAGAAGAAGGGAGGGGGGACUUCAGGAAGAGAGAAAUGGCAAAUAAAGGGAUCAAAAAAAAAAAAAAAAAGGGAGAAGUGAGGUAACGAUGCGGAGAAGCAGCUCAAAUGUGCAGACAGGGGAGGGUGUGGCGGCCGCGGCGCAAAGAUGAAUAAAAGUUUUUGCUUGAUGCCGUCUCAGUGGCCGUUUGAACAGCAGUCAAAGCCAGCUGAGCCAAAACGAAACAAAAAAUUACUUUUCGUCACUUCAGGUGUUUCACUUCAUUUACACUGUGAAUCAAGAAGCCCGCUGCAAAAACACAAAAUCUUGCAGCGUGUGUUUGAUCUAGUUUCUAGGUCAAAAAAUCGUAGUGCGUUUGAAAUAAAACAAAAGUAACUUUUCAGCGAGAUUCAGGAGCUUAUUUUAAGUUAAUAAUUCCUUAAUAUUGAUGAACGAGUACUAGUUGACUUAUAACAAGACAUUUUUCUCAUAAAUGAAGUAAUCAGCCAAUGGAACCACUAUUUUUCAGUCAAUAUUAAGGAAUAAUUUACUUGAAAUCUCUUGGUUCUUGCUGAAAACUUACUUGUAAUUUGGUUUUGUCUUAUUUCAAGCAUACUAAAAUAUAGAAUCUAAACCAAAUAUUCUUGGUAAGAGGUUGUGUUUUUUUCUUUGCAGUCCAAAGCAAACAAACAAACAAACAAAAAAGAAUCCAUCUUGCUUAAAAGCCAGUAUUGUCCUCCAUACAAAUUAUGGGAUGGUCUAAAUAUAAAAGAGGAGGUACUGAAAGUUUCUGUUUUUGAGAUGGGAGUUGUUUUGAUGCUUUGUGACAUGGCUCUGAUGUAAAUGACCAAAACCUCCCAGAAAGUGGCUUCAGUGUGUUCCUCAAUCUGAAAGGGGGAAAAAAAGAAAAAAAAAAACAAGAAAAACUCAGUUUCCUGUUCUUCUCCUCCUCCAUACGCGAUGCGACCGCAGCGCCUUUGUUCCUCAUGGUCAGAUUCUACCAGAAGAGGGAACGGUCCCGGGGGACAGCCGAAGACUGACCAUGAUCGACCGCUCACUGCUUUCUGUUUUCUGACCAGCCUUGUGCCUUUUUUUUUUUUUUUCCCUCUCCCCAUCCCAAACUUUUCAGCCCCCCCCAAGUGUUCCCAGCCAGCUGGGCCACAUUUGCUCUGGUGGCUGUGUCGCCGGGCGAAGCCCCGUCUGCUCUUGGGCGGGCAGCGUCAUAUGACUGAGUACUGGUCAGGGCCUGUAGAUUAGUAACUGGAUAUCCACAGAGAGGUCAUGAGGCCUGAGCCCUGUGAUCCAGUGGAAAGAAGGGUCGCCGCGGUGACUUUGUGGUCCCGUGCGGCCCAGAGCGCGAACCACAAUCCCUGCUGACACCCUCUUCCCCUUGAGGACGUGGUUUUACUCCAGAUCGUGAUUUCCCAUCGCCGCGACUCUCUGUCUGUGAUUGUAGGUCUCUAUCUAGGACUUUCUAGCGAAGAGGAUGCGGCACAUUCUCCGGCAAUGCUUCCUGGAGCCACUUUUCUCACAUGGAGGGGACACA